GACGAACGCUGGCGGCGUUCUUAACACAUGCAAGUCGAACGAAGUGGCGAACGGGUGAGUAACGCGUAAUCAACCUGCCCUUCAGAGGGGGAAAACAGUUGGAAACGACUGCUAAUAACGCAUACUGAAGGAGGGGAUUGCGUCUGAUUAGCUAGUUGGAGGGGUAACGGCACACCAAGGCGAUGAUCAGUAGCCGGUCUGGGAGGAUGAACGGCAACAUUGGGACUGAGACACGGCCCAGACUCCUACGGGAGGCAGCAGUGGGGAAUCUUCCGCAAUGGACGAAAGUCUGACGGAGCAACGCCGCGUGAGUGAUGACGGCCUUCGGGUUGUAAAGCUCUGUUAAUCGGGACGCGGUACCGGAAUAGAAAGCCACGGCUAACUACGUGCCAGCAGCCGCGGUAAUAC
rnacentral:rRNA from 1 species